AACGAACGCUGGCGGCGUGCCUAACACAUGCAAGUCGAACGGGAUUAGGGGCUUGCUCCUAAUCUAGUGGCGCACGGGUGAGUAACGCGUAGAUAAUCUACCUAGUAGUAUGGGACAACAUUUCGAAAGAGAUGCUAAUACUGUAUAGCUUACGAUAUUGGUUUAUUGUGAGAAAAGAGGGGGACUUUUAGCCUUUCGCUAUUAGAUGAGUCUGCGUACCAUUAGCUUGUUGGUAGUGUAAUGGACUACCAAGGCGACGAUGGUUAGCUGGUCUGAUAGGAUGAUCAGCCACACUGGAACUGGGACACGGUCCAGACUCCUACGGGAGGCAGCAGUGGGGAAUUUUGCGCAAUUGGGGAAACCCUGGCGCAGCAACGCCGCGUGAGUGAUGAAGGCCUUCGGGUCGUAAAGCUCUGUCGAGAGGAAAGAAAUAUAUUUUGGUUAAUACCCAAGAUAUUUGACGGUACCUUUAAAGGAAGCACCGGCUAACUCCGUGCCAGCCGCCGCGGUAA
rnacentral:rRNA from 1 species